AUACGUAGGGUGCGAGCGUUGUCCGGAAUUACUGGGCGUAAAGAGCUCGUAGGUGGUUUGUCGCGUCGUCUGUGAAAUUCCGGGGCUUAACUCCGGGCGUGCAGGCGAUACGGGCAUAACUUGAGUACUGUAGGGGAGACUGGAAUUCCUGGUGUAGCGGUGAAAUGCGCAGAUAUCAGGAGGAACACCGGGGGCGAAGGCGGGUCUCUGGGCAGUAACUGACGCUGAGGAGCGAAAGCAUGGGUAGCGAACAGGAUUAGAUACCCUGGUAGUCCAUGCCGUAAACGGUGGGCGCUAGGUGUAGGGGUCUUCCACGACUUCUGUGCCGUAGCUAACGCAUUAAGCGCCCCGCCUGGGGAGUACGGCCGCAAGGCUAAAACUCAAAUGAAUCGACGGGG
rnacentral:rRNA from 1 species